GACGAACGCUGGCGGCGUGCCUAAUACAUGCAAGUCGAACGCAGUGGGGACGGGUGAGUAACACGUGGGUAACCUCCCAUCAGAGGGGAUAACACUUGGAAACAGGUGCUAAACCGAUACUGAUGGAUGGACCCGCGGUGCAUUAGCUAGUUGGUGAGGUAACGGCUCACCAGGGCCACGAGGCAUAGCCGACCUGAGAGUGUUAGCGGCCACGCUGGUACUGGUACACGGCCCAGACUCCUACGGGUGGUGGCAGUAGGGCAUGUUCGGCAAGGGACGAAAGUCUGACCGAGCAACGCCGCGUGAGUGAAGAAGGUUUUCGGAUCGUAAAACUCUGUUGUUAGAGAAGCGGUAUCUAACCAGAAAGGCACGGCUAACUACGUGCCAGCAGCCGCGGUAAUAC
rnacentral:rRNA from 1 species